GAUGAACGCUGGCGGCGUGCCUAAUACAUGCAAGUCGAGCGAACGGACGAGAAGCUUGCUUUUCUGAUGUUAGCGGCGGACGGGUGAGUAACACGUGGAUAACCUACCUAUAAGACUGGGAUAACUUCGGGAAACCGGAGCUAAUACCGGAUAAUAUUUUGCACCGCAUGGUUCAAAAGUGAAAGACGGUCUUGCUGUCACUUAUAGAUGGAUCCGCGCUGCAUUAGCUAGUUGGUAAGGUAACGGCUUACCAAGGCAACGAUGCAUAGCCGACCUGAGAGGGGGAUCGGCCACACUGGAACUGAGACACGGUCCAGACUCCGACGGGAGGCAGCAGUAGGGAAUCGUCCGCAAUGGGCGAAAGCCUGACGGAGCAACGCCGCGUGAGUGAUGAAGGGCUGCGGAUCGUAAAACUCUGUUAUUAGGGAAGAACAUAUGUGUAAGUAACUGUGCACAUCUUGACGGUACCUAAACAGAAAGCCACGGCUAACUACGU
rnacentral:rRNA from 1 species